CUUCAAAAUGCAAACAAGAACUUUAGACAGUGAUCCCUAUCAGCCGGUGAGGCCGGGCGCAGAUGCCGGGUGCUGUUUUGGCCGUUGCUUAGCAAUGGAAAAUGAACUGUUCCUGUCUCUUAUCACUGGAGGUGGAGAAAAAUGCACACUUUUGGAACAUUUUGCCAAUGAUGAUGGAAUGUGGACUGUGAGCAUCCCCAGCCUUCUCCUGCCUACACCCUGGUUCUAAUGUACCUGCCCUAGGGUGGACCCAAUCUAAUCACAUUGGAGAACCAUUCCUGGCUGUUGUCACAGAGGGGGAAUGUGACAACAUAAGAAUGGCUGGAGAAAUCCAACACUGCUGGCUUCAGAGAAGGGCCUGGUGGAGGGCUCACUAUCAAGGAGUGAAGGCUCUUGAAGCUGGAAGGGCCAGAAGAUGUGUUCUCCCCUAGUGCCUCCAGAAGCAACACCACUGACACCUUGAUUUUAGUCCAGUGAGACCCAGGUUGAACUCCUUGAAACUGGCUUUGCAAAAAUUAUAACAGUGAGAACAUUAUGACAGUGAGAGAGAUCCAACUUGACCAACUCCAUCUUGCCUUUUACCACCAAAUGGCCCUUGGUCAUGCCUGGCUGUGGGCCAAGCUAACUUGGGAGAAAUUUAGUUUAUAGUUUAAAUAAUGUUAGCCUUUUCCAAAACUAAAUGCCUUCAUAAAACUAAUAAAAGCCCCCAAGUUUAAGAUUAUAAGAGGAGCCUGAAUUCUGCUAACAUGUAGAUGUAGUUGAACAAUUACCAGCCGCUGGUCUGGAGGUCACAAGAUUUGUAAGUUCCCCAAUUAUUCCUGUAAAUAACAUCACUAUUGCAGAACCUUAGAUUGGCCUUUUGAGAUGCCUUUUCAGGCUUUUGCAUUUCUGAUGGACUGAAUGACUCCACUCAGACCUGAGUCUCAAGACUCAACCUCUCAACCAGUCCUGUGGCCCCAUUCAGAAGGGAUCUCAGUGCAUAGUAGGGUAGGACCAUUUUCCACCCUACCCUACUAUGAUUGUGUCCCUGACCAGUCAGCAGCACCCAUUCCCUAGCCCCAUGCCCACCAAACUAUUCUACUGGAGGUCUGAGAGAGGAUGUCUCAGCCUGGUGCACCGUAUAGAGCUGGAGCCAGCUCCAGAACUUCCACAAAAGAACCUUUGAGGAUGGACCUGCCAUGGGGAUUACUAGAGCACCAACCCCACAAGACACUGCUGCUGUCCCUCGAAUUCCGUCUCCCCUUCCUAGCUCUGGAGACCCAAGCUAGGGAGAGAGAAGGAGCAGAAGAUCAACUGGGAGGAAGAAUGAACCAGGCCCUCUUUCCAUCCCCACAAUAUCCUCAAAUCACUAGUAAGCCUGAGCUGGGAGAGGAGAUUCAUGGAGCGGGGUUGAGAUUGAGGUUUUGGUGUAUGCUAGAUUGGCCUUUUUACUAAUCCCUAAAUAAAGCUGUUUUCCUAACUGAAAGUAAGUGAAAAUCUGUGGCUCUGCAUGAAAUGUAGUUAAGCAGUAGGGAAGGAAGAGACCACAGGACAUGUUGGAAGGCAGCGAGGGGAGAAAGCAAAGCUCUUUCCUCUUGAACCCCACGCAGCUCAACCUGCUGGGGAAUCUGGUUCUGAUGCAACUAAACCCAGUAAGCAUCAUUACAGAUGUAUCUUGACUUCUGUAGGAGAGACCAGCUGGGAAGUUACACAGACCUCCCCUCCUCUCCUUUAAAAAAAUUUUUUUAAAUAAAACAUUUCAGGCAUGGUAAUUCCCAUCUGUAAUCCCAGCACUUUGGGAGGCCAAGGUAGGAGGAUCAUUUGAAGCCAGAAUUUCAAGACCAGCCUGGGCAAUAAAGUGAAACCCUAUGUCUGCAAAAAAUUAUUUUUAAUUAGCCGGGCAUGGUGGUGCAUACCUGUAAGUCCCAACUACUCAGGAGGAUGAGGCAAAAGGAUCACUUGAGCCCAGGAAUUUCAGGCUGCAAUGAGCUGUGAUUGCACCACUGCACUCCAGCCUGGAUGACAGAGCAAGACUCCAUCGGAAAAAAAAAAAAAAGCCAAAACAAUGCCAAGAAAAAGAUACAAAAAUUGGGGGAUGUUUCAAAUAUAUGCAUUUAGCAAACUAAUGACUGUUGGUUAAAAAAAUACAAUCCAAUAUGGUUGUGUCGGUCAUCAUGGAGUCAGUUUAUUACUUUAAAAUAACUACAAGUUUAUGAUGUAGUGUGGCCAGUGUGAUGGAGUAAUGAGACAUAUUUAAAGGCCAAUGAUGAAUCUUCUUGCUUUUCAAUGCAGUCAGUGUAUUAUCCCUGUGUGUGUAUGUGUACACACACACCAUUCUGAUAACCUCAGAAGUCCAGAUUUGAGAAGGUGUGGCCCCAAUCAAAUGACCCUUCUGCCCCUAACCCCCACAUUCCAUGACCGGCCAUAGCAGGUAUAGGGGAGUUAAGGGAAAUGUUCCCAGACAGUGACAUUUGAACUAGGUCCUGAGAGAUCAGGAUGACUCCUCCAGGUAAGAAAGGGCAUUCUGAGUCAAAGGACUCACCCUCUAAAAACACAGAUGCUUGAGAGAACCUGGCAUGUUGGCAGAGCCGAUGGUGUGUUUCAGGGCUACGGAGAACAGAAGGCAAUGAGAGAAGCAAUGAAGACAUAAAUGACCCCAGAUGCCAAAGGGCCUUGACUGUUGAGCUGGGGCUUCAACUUGAUCCUGAGGACCCCAGGGAAUAAAGGAGUUUUUGAAGCAGGAUGAGAUCAGGUUUAGAAGGUGACUCUGAGGGUGGCACAGAGGAGGGAGGCUGAGGCCUGACCCAAAAGAAUGUGGCCUGGAGAGGGGCAGUCAGAGGGGAGAGAGAUUUCUGAGGUGGGAUCUGUCACGGCACAGUGGCCAGAUUCUGCCUGGGGACAAAGCAGGGUCAAAUGUGACUAUAAGCCGCCAUUUAGGAGCCCAAGAAAUGUUAUGGACCAAGACCUGGACUAAAUCCAUAUGGGUAGAUGAAUUUGAUUUUAGAUGUUUUAGACAUUUACAUUCCAUGUGAGUUACAUGCCAGAAACAUCCACUGAGGAGGACUCCAGACCCCUAGUCCCUUCCUGUGUCUUGAAAUUCCACAACCUCAGGGGCCCGUGAAGUCAAUUCUUUUCUUCUCUGCUUGGUUCUAGCGAGGGGUGAGCCUGAACUGGAGAUAGCUGUGGGGAGCAAAGAGAAACAGGCCAGGGCUGCUUUUCUUCUAAAACAUUUGAAGUAUAGCCCAAUUUCAUUUAUUCUCAAAGACCACUCUAUCUAAUCUAUAAGAAAAAAAUGAUAUGUGUGUAUAUAAAUAAAUUGUAUAUGUAUGUAUGCAUGCCUGUAAAAUAAGGUAUAUAUGUAUAUCUUCUGAAAUGAUUAUACCCCCAGUUCUUUAACAAUCAACAAUACUCUUGUACCAGGCUCAAGCCACUCUCCUGACUCCCAUGGCUCAGAAGGCAUAGAGGGUAGAUAGUCAAGAGACCAACUCACCACUGUCAUUUAUAUCAUAUAAAUCUGUAUAUAACCUGACAGGGGGGUGGCAGUCACCAACAUGUUAAGGAUGAUUACCUAGAUGGCAGGAUUUCAGGUGGUUUUUUCUCUUUAAUAUUUUAUAUACGGCCAGGCACAGUGGCUCAUGCCUGUAAUCCCAGCACUUUGGGAGGCCGAGGCGGGCGGAUCACGAGGUCAAGAGAUCGAGACCAUCCUGGUCAACAUGGUGAAACCCUGUCUCUACUAAAAAAUACAAAAAAAUUAGCUGGGCAUGGUGGCACGUGCCUGUAAUCCCAGCUACUCGGGAGGCUGAGGCAGGAGAAUUGCCUGAACCCAGGAGGCGGAGGUUGCGGUGAGCCAAGAUCGCGCCAUUGCACUCCAGCCUGGUAACAAGAGCGAAACUCCAUCUCAAAAAAAAAAAAGAAUAUUUUAUAUACAAUUGUAAUUUUUGUAAUAUACAUAUUUUUCCUGAAAAAAAAAAAAAAAAAGGUGAGCAGCCUGGGCAACAUAGUGAGACCCAUCUCUACAAAAAAUUUAAAAAUGAGCUUGGCAUAUUGGUGCAUGCCUGUAGUCCCAGCUCCUCGGGAGGCUGCAGUGGAAGGACCACUUGAGCCCAGGAGUUUGAGGCUGCAGUGAUCAUGCCACUGUACUGCAGCCUGGGUGACACAGCAAGAUUUCAACUCGAAAAAAAAAAAGGGAAGAAAGGGAAUCAGCUUUACCUUAUGUUACCAGUGGGAAUUUCAGCAAGCAACUUAACUAUGCCAGAAGCUGUAAGAUAAACCUUUCAUUUGAACCGACAAGUUUACUCCCAAGAAUGCAUACUAAAGAAGUACUCUGCAUUCUACUACAACCUAAUAAUCACAUUUCCAAACUUACAAAAAUUGCCUAAUUAAAUGAAGGAGUUGUUUCGAUGAUUUAUAUAUUUUGAAAAAGGAGGUGGGUAGAUACUACAAGUUUCACAUACACAGUAAAAAGUGAUUUGUUUUUCUUACAGGAAUUUUGAUAAUAAAGUAUAUCUUAACUG